AGAGUUUGAUCAUGGCUCAGAUUGAACGCUGGCGGCAUGCUUAAUACAUGCAAGUCGAACGGUAACAGAUUCUUCGGAAUGCUGACGAGUGGCGGACGGGUGAGUAAUACAUAGGAAUCUGCCCAUGUAGUGGGGGACAACUUGGGGAAACUCAAGCUAAUACCGCAUAAUUCCUACGGGAUAAAGAGGGCCACUGCUUGCAAGCUCUUGCUACUGGAUGAGCCUAUGUCGGAUUAGUUAGUUGGUAAGGUAAUGGCUUACCAAGACAGCGAUCCGUAGCUGGUUUGAGAGGAUGAUCAGCCACACUGGGACUGAGACACGGCCCAGACUCCUACGGGAGGCAGCAGUAGGGAGUAUUGGACAAUGGGCGCAAGCCUGAUCCAGCAAUGCCGCGUGUGUGAAGAAGGCCUGCGGGUUGUAAAGCACUUUCAAUUGGGAAGAAAGAUUAUGAGUUAAUACCUUAUAAUAUUGACGUUACCAAUACAAGAAGCACCGGCUAACUCUGUGCCAGCAGCCGCGGUAAUACAGAGGGUGCGAGCGUUAAUCGGAAUUACUGGGCGUAAAGAGUACGUAGGUGGUUAAAUCAGUCGGAUGUGAAAGCCCCAGGCUUAA
rnacentral:rRNA from 1 species